rnacentral:rRNA from 1 species
CCUACGGGUGGCAGCAGUAGGGAAUAUUGCUCAAUGGGGGAAACCCUGAAGCAGCAACGCCGCGUGGAGGAUGAAGGUUUUCGGAUUGUAAACCCCUUUUGUUAGAGAAGAAAAUGACGGUAUCUAACGAAUAAGCACCGGCUAACUCCGUGCCAGCAGCCGCGGUAAUACGGAGGGUGCAAGCGUUACUCGGAUUCACUGGGCGUAAAGGGCGCGUAGGCGGGGUAGCAAGUCAGAUGUGAAAUCCUAUGGCUUAACCGUAGAACUGCAUGUGAAACUGUUAAUCUAGAGUAUGGGAGAGGUAGGUGGAAUUCUUGGUGUAGGGGUAAAAUCCGUAGAGAUCAGGAGGAAUACUGAUUGCGAAGGCGGCCUGCUGGAACGUAACUGACGCUGAUGCGCGAAAGCGUGGGGAGCAAACAGGAUUAGAUACCCUUGUAGUC